ACUACUCGCUUAUAGGACUUAAAACACCUAAACUCUCUCUCUCUCUUAGAGCUGGAAGUUGAGAAGCUUACAUCCCCCCUCCCUCCCCCACACAAAAAACCAUGAGGAGUGGAGUCCCCAUGAAAAACUCCCCAAAGUUCACAAACAGGUACAUGGCCUCUAAGUGCACAGUCACCCUCCUGCACACGCUUGGCACUGUGUCCUCUGUGGUUACUUCCCUUAAACUUUUGACAAUGAUAAGCCCUCUCGCGGACAUGGAGAGACUGACAAGGAAUGGUAUAACUUCUUGUUUUAUACUUUCUCAUACACUUCCAUUGACCUUCAAAUCUUCUGGUUUCCUUACUUGUAUAGAAGUAGUAACCUCUAAUGGUCUCCUCUCCACCUCUGCAGGUUUUUCUUGUUGAAAACUCGAAAAAAUUAUAUAUUGAUAUGUGAUCAUGUGCAUUUUGUUUUGUCGAAGCUGACUAUGUGCAUAUAUUCAUGACCAAAUUAAAAGGUGUGUAAUUUAGUAUAUAUUUGACAUGUUGGACGACCAGCUUUCGACCAGAAUUACCUUUAACAAUAAUUAGUGAACAAUUAGGAAAAUUUAUUUAUAUUCUUAUGUAACAGGUACUUUAAUUAUACAAAAAUUAAGUAAAACACUACAUAGUCUGGGCAAUAACAAGUCUCUAACUGAAUUUUCACUUUUGUGCAAGAGUGUAUAUUAUUUAUACACAAUGUGAAUGAAUGGUAUUUACAUUACUUAUCGGUAUAACUGGUAAAUUCCAUAGAAUUUCAACAUUUUCAUGAAUAUUUCAGCCAUUUGUGCUUUUUUUUACUUACCUUGAUGAAACUUUCACUGUACAUUCAAAGUAACACAGAUAUGUGGUGAAAAUCAUAACAUAGAAGUAAUAAAAUAUUUUAUUUUUUUCUACUACAUAAAAUGUGAAUAUACAUAUGAAUUAUGUUCCUCGGAGGAAAUAAAUGUAGUUACUUGACAAAGUUUUCAAUAGUAUAUACACAUCACAGUUGAAUAUCCAAACUUAAAAUCAUAUUGAGAAGUCAUAGAAAAUACUUUAAAUAUAAUUAUUUGUGUUAUUCAUACACUCAGUCAUAUAAUCUCAUCUACAUCCUAAUA